rnacentral:rRNA from 1 species
AUUGAACGCUGGCGGUAUGCUUAACACAUGCAAGUCGAACGAUGAGAAAGAGCUUGCUCUUUCGAUUAGUGGCGGACGGGUGCGUAACGCGUAGGAAUCUACCUAUUAGUGGGGGACGACUUAGGGAAACUUAAGCUAAUACCGCAUACGCCCUACGGGGGAAAGAAGGGGAUCGCAAGACCUUUUGCUAAUAGAUGAGCCUGCGUAGGAUUAGCUAGUUGGGGGGGUAAAAGCUCACCAAGGCGACGAUCCUUAACUGGUUUGAGAGAAUGAUCAGUCACACUGGAACUGAGACACGGUCCAGACUCCUACGGGAGGCAGCAGUGGGGAAUAUUGGACAAUGGGCGAAAGCCUGAUCCAGCAAUACCGCGUGUGUGAAGAAGGCCUUAGGGUUGUAAAGCACUUUCAAUUGGAAGGAAAACCUCGAAGCUAAUACCUUCGAGUUUGACAUUACCUUUAGAAGAAGCACCGGCUAACUCCGUGCCAGCCGCCGCCGUAA